rnacentral:rRNA from 1 species
AUUGAACGCUGGCGGCAUGCUUUACACAUGCAAGUCGAACGGUAACAGGCCUUCGGUUGCUGUCGAGUGGCGAACGGGUGCGUAAUGCAUCGGAACGUGCCCAGAGGUGGGGGAUAACGCAUCGAAAGCUGUGCUAAUACCUCAUGUGAUCUGAGGAUGAAAGCGGGGGACCAGGCAGCAAUGUUUGGCCUCGCGCCUUUGUAGUGGCCGAUGUCAGAUUAGGUAGUUGGUGGGGUAAAGGCCUACCAAGCCGACGAUCCGUAGCCGGUCGGAGGGGACGGACGAGCAAAAAGGGGACGAGGAAAGGGCCAAGACCCCAAGGGAAGGAGGAGGUGGGGAAUUUUGGAAAAGGGGGGAAAGCCUGAGCAGGAAAGGCCGGGGGCGGGAAGAGGGCCUUCGGGUGGUAAACCGCUUUUGUAGGGAACGAAAAGGGUCUGGCUAAUACCUGGGGCUGAUGAGGGUACCGUAAGAAUAAGCACCGGCUAAUUACGU